GAUGAACGCUGACAGAAUGCUUAACACAUGCAAGUCUACUUGAAUUUGGGUUUUUUAACUUAGAUUUGGGUGGCGGACGGGUGAGUAACGCGUAAAGAACUUGCCUCACAGUUAGGGACAGCAUUUGGAAACGAAUGCUAAUACCUGAUAUUAUGAAUAUAUGGCAUCAUAUAAUUAUGAAAGCUAUAAGCGCUGUGAGAGAGCUUUGCGUCCCAUUAGCUAGUUGGAGAGGUAACGGCUCACCAAGGCGAUGAUGGGUAGCCGGCCUGAGAGGGUGAACGGCCACAAGGGGACUGAGACACGGCCCUUACUCCUACGGGAGGCAGCAGUGGGGAAUAUUGGACAAUGGACCAAGAGUCUGAUCCAGCAAUUCUGUGUGCACGAUGACGUUUUUCGGAAUGUAAAGUGCUUUCAGUUGGGAAGAAAAAAAUGACGGUACCAACAGAAGAAGUGACGGCUAAAUACGUG
rnacentral:rRNA from 1 species